rnacentral:rRNA from 1 species
AGAGUUUGAUCCUGGCUCAGGAUGAACGCUAGCUACAGGCUUAACACAUGCAAGUCGAGGGGCAGCAUGGACCCAGCUUGCUGGGUUUGAUGGCGACCGGCGCACGGGUGAGUAACGCGUAUCCAACCUGCCCUUUACUCCGGGAUAGUCUCCUGAAAGGGAGUUUAAUACCGGAUGUGUUUGUCUUUCCGCAUGGGAGCGACAAAUAAAGAUUAAUUGGUAAAGGAUGGGGAUGCGUCCCAUUAGCUUGUUGGCGGGGUAACGGCCCACCAAGGCGACGAUGGGUAGGGGUUCUGAGAGGAAGGUCCCCCACAUUGGAACUGAGACACGGUCCAAACUCCUACGGGAGGCAGCAGUGAGGAAUAUUGGUCAAUGGGCGGGAGCCUGAACCAGCCAAGUAGCGUGAAGGACGACGGCCCUACGGGUUGUAAACUUCUUUUAUAAGGGAAUAAAGUUCGCCACGUGUGGUGUUUUGUAUGUACCUUAUGAAUAAGCAUCGGCUAAUUCCGUGCCAGCAGCCGCGGUAAUACGGAAGAUGCGAGCGUUAUCCGGAUUUAUUGGGUUUAAAGGGAGCGUAGGCGGGCUUUUAAGUCAGCGGUCAAAUGUCGUGGCUCAACCAUGUCAAGCCGUUGAAACUGUAAGCCUUGAGUCUGCACAGGGCACAUGGAAUUCGUGGUGUAGCGGUGAAAUGCUUAGAUAUCACGAAGAACUCCGAUCGCGAAGGCAUUGUGCCGGGGCAUAACUGACGCUGAGGCUCGAAAGUGCGGGUAUCAAACAGGAUUAGAUACCCUGGUAGUCCGCACGGUAAACGAUGAAUGCUCGCUAUGGGCGAUAUAUUGUCCGUGGCCAAGCGAAAGCGU